UGUCUAUCCUUUGAGGAAUAAUUCUAAAAUCCAAUUGAAUCUAAGACAUGAAUAGUUGGUUUACGUUAUGUAAGAAACACGUGUAUAUGGGAUAUUAGAUAUUGACUAGUUAUAUACAAACUCAAAAUAUAUCUAAUCCAACCUACUAUUGUGGAUUUAGAUAGGUAUUCCAAUAGAAGAAUAGAAGUUCCUCUGUUUCAUCUUUG
rnacentral:lncRNA from 1 species